CAGAGGAUCACACGUGGGAGAUUUCCAUGGGCCAGCCUGGAAGUGGCACAUGUCACUGCUGCCCACAUUCCUUUGAUCUGAACUGUCACAUGGCCACACCUAACUGCAAAGGAGGCUGGGAAGUGAAGUCCAGAUGAGGUGGAAAUCAUCUAGUGAACAGAUAACAGUUUGUGUCCCAGACAGGACACAGAUUAUUACAAGAGACCCAGAGUGCCCCUCACAAAAGUUAGAUUGGAGAUGCCAAGUUCAAUGUGAAAAUGUCCAAGUCCUUGGAACACGUGGGGGUUGGUUUGCUUUUGUUUUUGUUUUCGAUGACCGAAUACGUGAACAGUACAUUUCUCUUGUAGGGAAAUGAGUUUAUGUUGUGAUCCUUGGACCAAACUCACUAGCAGUAUGAAAGCUUGCUCCCUCAUGCCCUGCCUUGACAGCCUUUCAUCUUAGUUGUCCUGAGAGCUGAGGUCAAAGAGCAUGAGCUUCAACACUCAGCUCUGAACAGUGGCUCAGAGCUUUGGGCCCUCGAGAUGUACGGGGCAUCGACGGCCAUGCUGAGAGAUGCCGGUGGUGAUACUGUGGUCCCUUCAAGGCAUUUAUCACCUGAUGAAGCUGCCUCCGGGCCAUUUCAUUUUCUCCUGACAAAUGCCUGUGUCCCCUCAGCCCUUGGAUCAACAAGGCUGUGGCUGUCAGCCCAACAGGAAGUCCUGUCUCUGUUUCCGUCUUUGCUGCGUGUUCCACCCAGUGGGCACUUGGGGGUGGGUGCCGAUUAGCUUCUGUGUGAUGCUAUGGGCUGCACCCCUCCCCGCGCCAGGCACCGUGCUGGGCACUCCGUGCACCCCACGCCCCAGUCCUUGUGACCUGCUGCAGGAAAUGUUCUGUAGCAGACUUUUCUGGUUCUAGAAACAAGAGGCUCACCCCAGGUCCUCGAGCAGUGGGUGUUCAUUGAGGGAUCCAGAAACCCCCAGGCACUCUUGUCUUCUGGGGUAUUUUCUUAAUGGAUAUUUUGUGCUAUUUUACUGAACGUGCUGGAUGGUAAAAGGUGUUUACCUCACAGGAAUGCAAACUGUUUGACUCAAUAUUUUUAUUGUCUUAAAAAUCUUCUAGGUGUCCGUCAUCAGGAACUUCCCCUGUAUACCUCUCUUGGCAGCCUGCAGCCUCCUGGACAUUUGGAGAGGCGCUCCCAACACACCCUGAUUCCAUUUUGGGAGUCUUUUCUGUGCCUCCUCCAAACUCCUCCUCCACAUCGUGCCGAGAAGUUUAAUUUCCUCUCUCACUGGGGUCCGGGCCUCCCCAGGCAGCCCCAACCCCAAUAAUACUCUGCUAAGCAGAGUAUCUGCUGAGCACACACGUUGGAAGGGGACUGAAGAACUACCAGAGGCGUCUCUUUCUUCCCUGAUUUUCUUUAUCCCUUCCCCACAAGCCCCCACGAGGGGAGGAGAGCUGUGUAAAGGUUUCUUUCCCCACCGACAUGAGUGGGCUGCCUCCUCCCUCCCCUCCCCUCCCGGGCAAACAUGGCUGCAGCCUCCUGUUUUCAUUUAUAAUCAGAUGGAGAGGUGCCCCCCAACAUUCUAACACAGAGACCGUUGUGUCCCCGCACCCUGGAGAUGAGCUGUGGAUUUAAGGUAGCUCUAGGACCAGGUAUUCUGUCAUCUGAUAAAAAGAUGGUCUAAGGGGCACCCGGGAGGCUCAGUCGGUUAAGCGUCCAACUUAAGCUCAGGUCAUGAUCUCCUGGUUGGUGAGUUCAAGCCCCGUGUGAGGCUCUAUGCUGACAGCUCAGAGCCUGGAGCCUGCUCUGGAUUCUGUGUCUCCCUCUCUCUCUCUACCCCUCCCCUGCUUGAGCUCUGUUGCUCCCUCCCCAAAAUAAAUUAAACAUUAAAAAAAAAAAAAAGAUCUAAGGGGCACCUGGGUGGCUCAGUUAGUUAAGCAUCCAACUUCAGCUCAGCUCAUGGUCUCACGGUCUGUGAGUACGAGCCCUGCGUCAGGCUCUGUGCUGACAGCUUAGAGCCUGGAGCCUGUUUCAGAUUCUGUGUCUCCCUCUCUCUCUGCCCUUCCCCCACUCACGCUCUGUCUCUCUCCCUCUCUCAAAAAUGGAUAAACAUUAAAAAGAAAUUAAAAGAUGAUCUGGGGCUUCCCUGCCAGGUUUCACCACUGCCCACUGAGACCCAGCGGCUGUGAUUAAAGCUGCUUCUUUAUCCCAGUUUAGGUUUCUUUUUUUUUCCUUUUUAUUUUUAUUUUAAUGUUCAUUCAUUUUUGAGAGACAGAGUAUGAGCAGGGAAGGCAGAGAGAGGGAGAUACAGAAUCCGAAACGGGCUCCAGGCCCUGAGCUGUCAGCACAGAGCCCCCACAUGGGCUUGAACUCACCAACCUAGAGAUCAUGACUUGAGCCCAAGUUGGACGCUCAACCUACUGAGUCACCCAGGUGCCUCUCCCAAUUUAGGUUUCUGAAAGGGAAUCUGAUUGGCCUCAUUCGUUUCCACUCACUUUUCAUGCCAGACAUUCAUAGGUCAGAUGCCUACCCUGGCCCAUCAGCUGUGGUCAGGGCAGUACAGAGUACCGCUGCCUUAGGAGGGACAGAAGGGACCGAGGGAGCGGGUAUUUCCUGCUGCUGCUGGGAUAGACCAUGUGGUAUAGUCCCCUGUUUUGCCCAAAGUCAUACAGCUAAAUGUCAGAGGCAAGGUACAGAGCUGUUCAUGCCAAAGCCACUUAACCAUCACCCCUUUGUUCUACAUUCACCUGUCAAAGGUAGAGGUGGGAGACACAGGAUGAUGGGAAGGAGUUCCUUGGCCAGGACUAAAAUAUAGCGAGUAUGGUGGAAAUAAAGUGAUCACUCCUGUAGUAGAUACAUUUACAAUCCUCCUAUCAAGAACAGUUAUCAAGCCCUUACACACA